rnacentral:rRNA from 1 species
GAUCAUUACCGAGUUUGGAUCACAUUUUUGGUGUUCAACUCCCACCCUUUGUUUACUAAAAUUGUUUAUCUUUGGCGAGGCGCUUUAGCAUUUGCUGAGCCACUGACAGCGAAAGCUGUGAGCGAGUCUUCGCCAAAGGAUUUCAAACUCUUAUUACUUUACUGUCGUCUGAGUUUACAUAAAAUAAAUUAAAACUUUCAACAACGGAUCUCUUGGUUCUGGCAUCGAUGAAGAACGCAGCGAAAUGCGAUAAGUAAUGUGAAUUGCAGAAUUCAGUGAAUCAUCGAAUCUUUGAACGCAUAUUGCACCUUAGAGUAUUCUCUAAGGUAUACCUGUUUGAGCGUCGUUUAGAACAUAAAGCAUUGCCUUUUUGUUGAAUUUUGGUUGGAAACAUACCAAUUUUCUAAACAUAGUGGCGUUAUUUUGUUAGCCGAUGCACAGCGAAAAUGUGUAACUUUGUUAACACGAAUAUUACUGCCAGUGAUUUUAACAUGUUCGACCUCAAAUCAAGUAAGACUACCCGCUGAACUUAAGCAUAUCAAUAAGCGGAGGAAAAGAAACCAACAGGGAUUGCCUUAGUAACGGCGAGUGAAGCGGCAAAAGCUCAAAUUUGAAAUCUGCCAACAGGCUGAAUUGUAAUUUGUAGAGGAACGUUCGGUGACGCCUUAGUCCAAGUCUUCUGGAAGGAAGCGCCAUUGAGGGUGAGAGCCCCGUUGGAUGACUGGCUGAGCCUUGUGUACGUCCUUCGAAGAGUCGAGUUGUUUGGGAAUGCAGCUCAAAAUGGGUGGUAAAUUCCAUCUAAAGCUAAAUAUUGGCCAGAGACCGAUAGCGCACAAGUAGAGUGAUCGAAAGAUGAAAAGCACUUUGGAAAGAGAGUGAAACAGUACGUGAAAUUGUUGAAAGGGAAGCGCUUGCAACCAGACUUGUUUGUUAGGUUCAGCAACUGAUUCAGUUGUGUAUUUCCUAGUUAACAGGCCAACAUCGGUUUUUUGGGUUGGAAAAAAUCAUUGGGAACGUAGCUCUCUCGGGAGUAUUAUAGCCCUUUGAAGAAUACAGCCACCAGGAGACCGAGGAUCGC